UUAUAAAAAGUGCAAGUAAAAAAAAUUAUUGGUGGCAUUUUUAAAUAACUGCCCUUGAUAAAAUUUAUAUGAGAGCCCACCCCUUUUUUUUUCGAAAACUGUAUAAUCAUCUCACAAUUCCACAAGAAAACUGUCGAGUAUUGAUCGAGUGGGAAUUUUUUGCCAUUAUCUUUUUACUUGGUGUGCAAGAGAAAAAAAAAAGCCCUAGCUGCUAUCGCCCAAGCCCUCUUCAUCCUAUUUGGGAGUACCCUAAUUUUAUCUGGGUUUCCACCUCUUUCUCUCUCCUCCUCCUCCUCCUCCUCCUCCUUCGAUGGUGCCUCGGCUCUCUCUUCUUCCCACGCGCCGCCGUGCUCGGCCUCCCUCGCUCCUGGCGCUCCAAGUGCUCCUUCCAACAACCCUUGUUGCUCUACCCCUUCGCCGUUGUUGAUCCCCUGCCCAACCGCUAGGCUCCGCCUACUGCGGCGCCUACCUGCGCUGCCUCCGCCUCUGCCACCGACUCUGUCCCCCGGCUUCCACACCUUCUCUCCUCUUCCUCGUUGCCCCCAACCUCGUCCUCCCCCUCUAGGGCCGCCUCCGCAUCUGCCACUACCGCCAUCCCCAAAGCCCUAAAAAUGAAAAAACAACACAAAAAGGUAAAAUGUGCAAAUAUGCUCCCUCUACUAUCCCCACUACCACAAUUUCUUCUUUUGCUUGCCACUCAAACUUUUUGCAUAUACUGUAAUUUAUAGCUUCUAACAAGCAAAGAAUAUAAUUAGUAAUGGGAACGAAAAAAAAAAUUGGUCUUUUCCUCUUUUAUUAGGGUUUUUAACUAUAUCAUUGGCAUUUGGUCCUCAUUGCUGAUGAUCUUUGCCUGAGCCAAAGAUAAACCACACAAAAGAAAACUACCAGCCGGCAGGUGAGCUUUCCAUGCUAUGUGUUGUGUUCCCCUCUCUCGUCCGCCGUGCCCUCGCGUUUAACUCCCUUUCCGGCCCCACCCCCUCUGCCUUCGCCGUCGCUCGCCGGAAUAUUCCCCUUCUCGUCAUCCACCAUAGCCGCUUCCGUUGCGACAUAGGAGGAUCCGAUCCUGUUGCGUGCCGAAUUUCCUGACCCUUGACCCGAUCAAAGAUCCUCUUCGGGGAGCGUGUCGAGAUGAAAACGGCUUCGGAUUGUGACCCUCGAAGUUUGUGCCCUUCGAUUGAUCAAGCAAUUCGGCUGGCGAGGGAUUGGAUCAGCCGGGUUCGAAACCUCUACAAUCACUACAAGAAAAUAGCCUUUUGUGGAGAAAAUUUUCGCCACAAAAAGAACAAAUUUCGUCACAAAAUAUUUUUUGUGGCGGAAUAUUCUGCGCCACAAGCCCGCCACAAUAAGCCCGCUGUAAAAUAUACUUGUGGGGAAAAUUAAUAUUCGCCAUAAAAAGUUAUUCUAUUUGUGGCGAAAUAUUUCGUCAUAAAAUUAGUAUAUUAAUUGUGAUGUGGAAAGUAUUUGCUGGGAAAAUAUUCGCCACAAAAGAAGUCAUGCAUUUGUGGCAAACUACUUUGCCAUAGAAGACAUGUGUCAACUGUGACCAAAACGGUUGGCCACUACAUGUGGAAAGCAUUUGCUAGGAAAAUAUUCGCCACAAAAGAAGCCAUGCAUUUGUGGCAAACUACUUUGCCAUAGAAGACAUGUGUCAACUGUGAUCAAAAAGUUGGCCAGUAUAUGUGGAAAGCAUUUGCUGGGAAAAUAUUCGCCACAAAAGAAGCCAUGCAUUUGUGGCAAACUACUUUGCCAUAGAAGACAUGUGUCAACUGUGACCAAAAAGUUGGCCACUAAUUAAAUCCCAAAAGAAUUACGUUGACAGUUCAAAACUUUUAUAGCCAAACACAAUAUUUCACCACAAAAUUUAUUGAUCUUUUGGAUCAACUAUUGAUUUGAGACAAUUUUAAAAAAAAAUUGCUACUAAUAAAAUUAUAAAAGUAAUUAAGUAAUACUCUGAGCAUAAAAAUUUUCAAAUAAGAACCAAAAUAUCAAUAAACAAGUUGUUCCAUUACUAAUAUCCAAAACAUACAAAAAGUUUCAUGCAUCUCCAACAUACACAAAUCCAUUACUAAUAUCCAAAACAUACAAAAUGCUUCAUGCAUCUCCAACAUACACAAAUUGUUUAAUUAUACCACUUUUACAACUAGUUAUAAGAUUUCUUAAACAUAAUAUGAAGAUGCUUUAAGUAUCCACAAAAUAUGCAAGCCUUCAGUUGUUCCCCUUUCAAAACCACUAGACAAAUGGAAAUGAAAUCCAUGAAGCUCAUAUGCCUUGUUUAAUCCUGCACAAUAAAAAGAGAAAAUAAAAUUAGACAGUAUAUCACCAAUUUCUCAAAAACCAACUAACAUUUUCAUGCAAUAUGAACUUACUUGAUCGUAAAUAUUUCAAUCUUAAUUGAACUAAAAGUAAGCAAGGUUUCUAAAAUUUACGAGUGGAGUACCCGCGCUUCGCUGCGGACAAUUUUGAUGCUAAUAUUUAAUUUGCUGGUAUUAUUGCAAGGAAAUAAAAAUGUUAUAACAAAGCAACAAAUAGCAGCUAAUAAUUAGGUAGCUUAACGCUAAAUAGAAUUAUCACAAAGAACCACAUCAAAUAUUUGACAGAGUCAUAUUAUUUUCUAAAGAUAUUGAAAACUCUGAACAUUCAGAAAAUCAUAAGAGGUAUAUUGUAAAAUGAUAGCAUAAAAAAAUAUACAUCUCAUAUCGAUAGACAUCAAAGUAUUGCCAUAAAAAUCACCCUAAUUAUUGCAAAAUGAAAACCACCCUAAAUUAAGCACAAAAUUAUCACUGCUAUUUGGUACAAUUAAGAUUGAUAUCAAUAUAUUGUGCAGACACAAAACAGUCAAAGCAAGCUUUUCAAAGAUGAGAAAUAUAUCGCAGAGAGCUUUUCUGUGAAUUCUAUACAUAAAGAAUGGAAAAGGACUUCACAUUGGAGCAUUGCACUACAUGUUACUAAUAUAUGUGGAAGUCUGAAAUAUUAAUGUUGUGUCACUUAUGGACUCCAAAUUAAAAUCUUGGGUAGGAUUUAGUAGAGACCAAACAGUUAUCUAGUAAUUUGACCUGUCAAAUUUUUUAUCACAUGAUUGCAUAUGAAGAAAUUAAACACAUAGAAGGUAUAGAAGUGCAUAAAAUUAAGGCUCAGGUACAAAUUUUAACUUCAUGGCAUUAGGAAUCACUUGAUGUCACACUCAUCAUUAGAUCAAAAGGAAAAAUAUAUACAGACAUGCAUUUUCGUUGGGGCUAAAUAAGAAAUACUUCAAGACAUUGAAUCAAGAGAAAGAAAUAAAAAUGUUAGUAUAAACACCAGCAACAAAAUCUGUAACAAAAAAAUAAAGAAUUCCAAACAAAACAGUUAACAACAACUAUGAGAAAUGCAUGAGCAAGAACAUAUUAAUAUUGAAAACUAUAAGACAUAUAUAAGGCUCAGAUUGUUCAACAAUUAAUAUCAUAAUCGGUCUACUACAAACAUUUAACCGUCAAACUGUUUGAAAUAUUUGCAACGGCCCAAACAUCUGGACUACGUGCACCCACACAUAAAAGCCACCGAAUGGUUGCCUACAUAGUAGGCCAUCCAAAUUCUACAUACCUUUCAUUCUUAUAAUAUAAAUGCAUCAAUAGAGCAUUCACAAUCUAUAUACCAGCAGACCAGUGCACAUCAUAUUGUCGAUUCCUUUCGCCAAGUAAAAAAAGUAAUGGCCUGUCAUACACAACCACUUUUCUAUUUCAUCACAUCACAGAGUGUCAAAUUCUUGUAUAUCAUCAUCGCCUUAUUUUAAAAAAAACAUAACGAAUGAAAUAGAAACUGUAAAAUCAUAAAAGCAUACAAUAACGAAUAAAACCCAAACCAUCAACCCAUAUAAACACCCAAAGGCCAUUUUCUGUACAACAGAACCAUAAAAAUCUGCAGAACAAAGUAGGAGAAAAAGUUUGAGGAAAUUUCAGUUCCAUGCUACAAUAACAAUAAACAAAUUCAUUGUAAGGCCAAGGGUUCUGCAUAAGAAAAGAAGAAUAUAAAAACUGCAAAUUCCAUACUAAAACACUACAAUAAGACUUAGAGUUCAAUACGUAGAUCAUAUAAUUGAUUUCUCAUAGAGGGCAGUAUACGAGAGAGAUGUUAGGGUUUAGGGCUUCGUGCGAAGGUGGAGCGAUCCGAGAUCUGAAGCUCUUCGCGCCCAGAUCUGUGAGGUUUUGAUCUCUGCUCCACCCCAUAGUUUUGUGAUUUUGUCUAAUUUGGAGCAUCGAAUGAUUGUGUUGAGUGUCGAUUCUUACUGGUUGAUAUGAUUUUGUGAUUUCAAUGUUAAUUUCUUUUUUGGUCGAUUGGCUCUUGAUCUAGUAUGGUGCAUGAGUGAGUGUUGUUUUGAUGUGUGAAAUUUGUUGAUACCUUUAAAGGGGUUCUCGUCUUUUGUUUAGAGGUGAAUCUCUACAUUGGGUUGUUAUGAGUGUGAAUGGAAAUGAAAAUUAGGCAAAAAAGAUAUGAUAAAAUAGUAGUGUAGCUUUAGAAGGCCUUGUCCUCCAACAGUUUUGAAAGUCAUCAGCUAGCAUUAUGGAAUGUUGUAGCUUUAGAAGCUCUUCAUUUGCUUUUUGGCUGCAGCAUUAGCAGCGGAACCUCGUCCACCUCUUGCUCUUCCUUUUCUCUGACUGGUGCUAAACCUUGUUGUUGCAUUAGCUACUCUCUCAGUAGAGAACAUAGGCUGUCAAGGACGAUAACUUGAAUUAAAUAAUUAAUAUAUGUGAAAUACAUGCAACUGUAUAAUAUUUUUUCGCAUUAAAUUACUCUAAUACCUGUGAGCACCGAUUGAAUGAUUCUACAUCAAAAUAUCACAAUUUGUCUGAUAGGCUGGAGACACUAAAUUGUUCACCAAUCUGAGAGAAUUUGUUUGUUGCUCUCUAAUAUUAUAUAAGAAUAGGUUUGUUAGAAUUUAUUAUUACAAAUACAUUAGUUCCAAAAUAAAAUUCUACUUGUUUUCUUUUUGGUUCUCACCUCCUCUGCCAUAAUGUCUCCCCUUGUGACUGAUGCUGUACAUGUCCUCAAAUUGUGGCCUUCUUUGCCGGCAUUUUCCACACUUUAUUGGUUUGUCCAUUCUCGAUACUUUGUAGGGUUUAAAGGUUCAUCUGCAUCUUUUCUCCUAAGCUCUCUAGGUCUCCCUGGUGGCUUUUAUACGCCAAGGCACUGGAGCUGGCAUUGAAGUCUUAUCCAUGUCAUUUUGUUCAGGAAUUGGAUUGAUAAUCUCUUCAAUACGCCUUAAGAUACAACUGCCUUGGUAUAACACUGAUGUAAAUAUCCUCAGGCUUUCCUUGUUGUGAAAAUUGCUCAAUGGCAUGUUUGCACGUGAUUCCUGUUAGAUCCCACAACCUACAACUACAUUGCCUUUUCUACCAAAUCCACCGCAUCUUACCAUCCAAGCAAUCAACCUCAUAACUUUAGCCUUCCCACAUGGAAUUGGGAAGCAAUGUCGUGCAUCUACUUUCAAUUUCUCCAACUUCUUUUGAAUGUUUGGGCAUAUUUGGCCCUCUAUAUUUCUCCAUUCUUCUCUUUUUAUAUAAAACUUUUCAUCAAUCUCACCAAAUUCAUUCUAGCAUUGAUACGAUAGGUUUAUCUCUGGCUUUCAAAAGACAACUAUUAAAGGACUCUGAGAGGUUAUUCACAAAGAAUGUCUGAUUUUGCCCUACUAGAAAAAUAUGCCUUGGAACACUGAUUGUGUGAGAUUUUUCUUAACCAGUCGUAUGCAUCCAUCCUUAUCUAGCUUCUUUAGUUCUUCCAUUUGGUGAGAUUUUUCUUUCAAACUCUCUAGUUGUUGUGGCAUUUGCAACACUGCCACAUUGCAUCUUUUAAUUCUUUACCUUAAUUGCAACUCUUUGAAUUGUUAUAUAAAUGCCUCAAUGCAAUAUCUAUGCUCCACAAAUUAGGCAAUUUUCUUCAAACACUUGAACUAAGCCCUAAAAUCCACCACAUGAAUAUAGUAAGAAUACUAUAACUAAAAUCAUAAAAAAUGAUUAAAGAAAUCUAAAUGACUAUACCUUGCCUAUCAGAGAUAAACACUGUCCUAGAUCCUCUUGGACUACAAAAUCAUCAAUAAAGCACUUUCAAUUGUAAUUUCUAAAGAAUUCCCCACCUUUAUAAUAAUAAACAUUUUAGAGGACCUUGUAGGUCUGCUUUGAUGGCAAAUCAAAAUUUAAAUGUGUUAUCAUCAUCUGAGCCUUCAAUACUCAUAGUUGAAAAAACUAGGGAUCACUGUCUUCUUCAAUCAUCUUUUAUGUUAUCAUCAUCAUCACUCUUACUCUCACUUUCCUCAAACAUCAUUGCCUUUUUUAUCUACCUUCAGUAUCUGUACGAUGGACAUCUCCCGAUCAAAGCCUUACCUCACAUAUUUCUCAUUUACAUCUCCUUAUUAGCGACAAUCUUUGCUAGAUAACAUUCCAUUUAUUUGUUUGAGGAGUUGACUGCACCUUAUUGCUUUUAGACUUGUCAUUCACCUAUCAUCGGCUCAUAUAGCUAUCAACAUGUAAGACAAUAGUUCUUAAUUGCCCAUGUUCUUGUAGCAUUUGAGCUACAUCCUGAUCAUUGCUAAUCUUCUUUAGAAUAUGAUUGAGUUUAGGCUGUAAGUAAUAAAUGUCGCGCCUUGUAGCCUGAUCAAGAUCACUAGCUAAACUAUUCAAUUCAAAAAAACUGAUAAAGCACCAUCAUAUUCCCUGUAUUCCUUAAUUAAACCACCCAUAUACUUUAUAUUGGGUGUAAUUUGAAGGCAACCACCAUAAUAAUUUUUUAAGUUUGUAACCGCACUUCUCCCAUCUAUAAAAAGAUAGAAUUAGACAACAUAAAGAUAUGAAAUUACAUUAAUACGUAAUGUAAAAAGCGAUCUAAAUAGAAUAAUACUUAGGACCACAUAUAACUAUAAAAAUGCUAAGGAGAAAUAUAAGAAAUGGAAAAUUUCAAUACAACUCAAAUGCAAGAGAAAGGCGAGGAUAUUCUGACAACUCGUGAAGCCUAUACAAUUGUACUUGAGCACAGAUCCUGGAUAUGUUCGAGUAUGGGUCCAGCCCCCCUGAGCACUUUAGAGAAUGGCGGUCUGAGGGACAACGGCUCGUGCACAAAUACAACAGAGAUCGAGGUUGAGAUGACAGCUCGAAUUCAAGAGGAGGUAGAGGCACGCAUGGCACAAAAAAGAGAGUGAGCGUACAAGCUCGAAUAGAGCAACGAGAGGCUGAAGCAGAGGCUCGUUUAGCUCAAAGGAGGCACGAUUGAGCAAAAUGGAAGCCCCAGAUCGUGCUGUUAUGGCAGCAUUUAUCAGAAAUGUGGAUGCCUUUAUCUUCGCAGCCAACAUCCGCUAGUCGUUGUAAGUAAUAAAUUNNNNNNNNNNNNNNNNNNNNNNNNNCCGUAAAUGAUUUGUCACUCCAUCCAUUAAUGCAUUUAAGUUGUAGUAAAUUUACAAUAAACUCUAAUUUAGAGAACUCUUUGCAUCCUGGAUAUAGUUCUUGCUCAGCAUCCAACAAUAAAUGGUAAAAUUUCUUUGCUGCCUCAUUUGGUUCCUCCUGAUUGUGAUCAAUAAAAUCCACAUUGGCAUCUUCCGUUCUACCUAAAUCAUGCAAAAGUUCAUGCAUGUUAUCAUGGUUAUUUUCUUCUUCUUCUUCCGGUUCAUUAUCAUCGUCUAUACUUUCAUUGUUUUAUCUAUAUAUUCCUCCCCAUGACAAAACCACCAUUUAUAAUCCCUUAGCAUCCCGUAUAGCAAAAGGUGAGAGUACACAAUAUUGCGAGUUUGGAAAGUGGCAUUGCAACAUUUGUAACAAGGGCAUCGAAUUUUGUCUACUCUUGAAGUAUGUGCAAAUGCAAAUUGGAGAAAAUUAUUAACUCCAUUCACAUACUCUGGACAUCGUCUAUUCUCUAUAUCAAUCCAGGUCUUAUCCAUUAUUCAAAGUACUACAUUCCAUAUAAUAAUAAGAUAACAACAUCAAAUAAUGCUAACUUAAUAAUUGAACAAGAUAUCUAAGAAGUGAGUAGCUUUUGUAUAACAUGAAAAAAUUGAUAGUACGAUUGCUGGAAACUUAAGUUACAACUAAAAACUAAUCAUAGUGAACCCAAACAAUCAAUAAAAGUGACCUUAAAUUUGUCUUAAUAAAAUAAUGUUCUACAAAAAUUUAGCGACAAGAAAGUGUGAAUAUGCGCUAUAUACCUAUAAAAGAAAAAACCUCGUUCCACUAUAGGAAAACAAGUUUGCCAAAUACACCCAAUAGUAUCUAGCAUUUAGAUACAAUAAUUGUGCCAUAAUCUAUAAUCAAGUUAGUAUAAGCUAAAUAAAACAAAUAGCGAUUUAACAACAUAUAAAAGAGGGCCAUCACUUUUAAUUCAAGAUUAAACAUACGAGUCGUAUUGCUUACUAAUCAAGAAAAUGAAGAAUGGUAAUAUAAGACAACAAUUUAGAAACAAGCAAACACUAAAAUAUCAGAAAUAUAAAAAUAAAUUAAGAAAGAAAAACAAUACUUGGAGAAAUGUGAAUCAACUACGAUUCGAACUUCAAAAAUCCCACAAGGUUUCACUUUUUUUCAUUUUAAUACCCUGUGGUUUAAAGUGUAUCAAAUUAGUACACUGUGGUUUUGCCCUUAUUUAUGCUAAGAAUUUUUUAUUAUUUAUCUCGAUUUUUGGAUCAUCUUUAUAUUUCUUUAUUAAGGCCUUAAUUUUUUAUAGCUAUAUGUGGUCCUAAGUAUUAUUCUAUUUAGAUCACUUUUUACAUUACGUAUUAAUGUAAUUUCAUAUCUUUAUGUUGUCUAAUUCUAUCUUUUUACAGAUGGGAGAAGUGCGGUACAACUUAAAAAUUAUUUAUGGUGGUUUGCUUCAAAUUACACCCAAUAUAAAGUAUAUGGGUGGUUUAAUUAAGGAAUAUAGGGAAUAUGAUGGUGACUUUAUCAGUUUUUUUGAAUUGAAUGGUUUAGCUAGUGAUCUUGAUCAAGCUACAAGGCGCGACAUUUAUUACUUACAGCCUAACUCAAAUCAUAUUCUAAAGAAGAUUAGCAAUGAUCAGGAUGUAGUUCAAAUGCUACAAGAACAUGGGCAAUUAAGAACUAUUGUCUUACAUGUUGAUAGCUAUUAUGAGCCGAUGAUAGUGAAUGACAAGUCUAAAAGCAAUAAGGUGCAGUCAACUCCUCAAACAGAUAAAUGGAAUGUAUCUAGCAAAGAUGUCGCUAAUAAAGGAGAUGUAAAUGAAGAAAUAUGUGAGGUGAGGCUUGAUCGGGGAGAUGUCCAUCGUAUAGAUACUGAAGUAGAUAAAGGCAAUGAUGUUGAGGGAAGUGAGAGUAAGAGUGAUGAUGAUGAUAACAUAAAAGAUGAUGAAGAAGACAGUGAUCCCAGUUUUUUCAACUAUGGUAUUGAAGGCUCAGAUGAUGAUAACACAUUUAAAUUUGAUUUGCAUCAAAGAGGACCUACAAGGUCCUCUAAAAGUGUUAUUAUAUAUAAAGGUGGGAAUUCUCUAGAAACUACAAUUGAAAGUGCUUUAUUGAUGAUUUUGGUAGUCCAGAGGAUCUAGGACUAGUGUUUAUCUCUGAUAGGCAAAAGGUAUAGUCAUUUAGAUUUCUUUAAUCAUUUUUUAUGAUUUUAGUUAUAGUAUACUUACUAUAUUCAUGUGGUGGAUUUCAGGGCUUAGUUCAAGUGUUUGAAGAAAAAUUGCCUAAUGUGGAGCAUAGAUAUUGCAUGAGGCAUUUAUAUAACAACUUCAAAGAGUUGCAUAAAGGUAAAGAAUUAAAAGAUGCAAUGUGGCAGUGUGCAAAUGCCACAACAACUAGAGAGUUUGAAAGAAAAAUCUCACCAAAUGGAAGAACUAAAGAAGCUAGAUAAGGAUGCAUACGACUGGUUAAGAAAAAUCUCACCAAAUCAGUGGUCCAAGGCAUAUUUUUCUAGUAGGGCAAAAUCAGACAUUCUUGUGAAUAACCUCUCAGAGUCCUUUAAUAGUUGUAUUUUGGAAGCAAGAGAUAAACCUAUCGUAUCAAUGCUAGAAUGGAUUCGGGUGAGAUUGAUGAAAAAGUUCUAUAUAAAAAGGGAAGGAAUGGAGAAAUAUAGAGGGCCAAUAUGCCCAAACAUUCAAAAGAAGUUGGAGAAAUUGAAAGUAGAUGCACGACAUUGCUUCCCAAUUCCAUGUGGAAGGCUAAAGUAUGAGGUUGAUUGCUUGGAUGGUAAGCAUGCGGUGGAUUUGGUAGAAAGGCAAUGUAGUUGUAGGUUGUGGGAUCUAACAGGAAUCACGUGCAAACAUGCCAUUGCAGCAAUUUUCACCAACAAGGAAAGGCCUGAGGACUAUUUACAUCAGUGUUAUACCAAGGCAGUUUAUCUUAAGGUGUAUGAAGAGAUUAUCAAUCCAAUUCCUGGACAAAAUGAAUGGAUAAAGACUUCAAUGCCAGCUCCAGUGCCUUGGCGUAUAAAAAGCCACCAGGGAGACCUUAGAAGCUUAGGAGAAAAGCUGCAGAUGAACCUUUAAACCCUUACAAAGUAUCGAGAAUGGAUAAACCAAUAAAGUGUGGAAAAUACGGCAAAGGAGGCCACAAUUUGAGGACAUGUACAGCAUCAGUCACAGGGGAGACAUUAUGGCAGAGGGUGAGAACCCAAAAAGAAAAACAGGUAGAAUUUUAUUUUGGAACUAAUGUAUUUGUAAUAAUAAAUUCUAACAAACCUAUUCUUUAUAAUUCAUAGAGAGCAACAAACAAAUUCUCUCAGAUUGGUGAAUAAUUUAGUGUCUCACAGCCUAUCACGACAAAUUGUGAUAAUUUUGAUGUAGAAACUAAUUCAAUCGGUGCCUCACAGGUAUAAUCAUUUUAAUGCAAAAAAAAGUUAUACAGUUGCAUGUAUUUCACAUAUUUAACUUAUUUAAUUCAAGUUAUCGUCCUUGACAGCCUAUGUUCUCUACUGAGAGAGUAGCUAAUGCAACAGCAAAAGGUUUAGCACCAGUCAGAGGAAGAGGAAGAGCAAGAGGUGGACGAGGUUCCGCGGCUAAUGCUGCAGCCAAAAAAGCAAAUGAAGGGCCUUCUAAAGCUACAAACAUUCCAUAAAUGCUAGCUGAUAACUUUCAAAAGCUGUUGGAGGACAAGGCCUUCUAAAGCUACACUACUAUUUUAUCAUACUUUUUUGCCUAAUUUUCAUUUCCAUUCACACUCAGUAACAACCCAAUGUAGAGAUUCACCUCUAAAAAAAAGAGAGAACCCCUAUUAAGGUAUCACAAAUUUCACACAUCAACAACACCUCACUCCAUCCACCAUACUAGAUCAAAGCCCAAUCAACAAAAAAAGAAAUUAACAUCGAAAUCACAAAAUCAUAUCAACAGUAAGAAUCGACACUCCAAUACAAUCAUUCGAGCUCCAAAUUAGACAAAAUCACAAAACUAUGGGGUGGAGCAGAGAUCAAACCUCACAGAUCUGGGUCGGAAGAGCUCGAUCUCGGAUCGCUCCACCUUCGCACGAAGCCCUAAACCCUAACCCGAUCGAGGGCGAAGGCGAUGAAGAAGAAGAAGUAGCAGAUUCACAAAAUGCGGAGAAGAAGCUGCCGAUUCUAUAUAAAGACCCUAAUGAUUUGUAAAUAAAGUUAUUAAUGUGAUUCUAAAUUUUCAUGAGAUUUUUUUCAACAAAAAUUAAUAAAAAAGAAAAAAAAUUUAAUUAAGGGAGUGGGAGGAGACCUUGAGCAAACAAAGCUUGGUUACGCGUGCAAACGAGCAACAGAUCGAAGUUGGUUGCACGCGCAAUCGUAGAUGACGCGGCGCGAGGGUGUAGUCCACAGCCUCGCAGAUCCACACGGCGCGCGCAACGGGGAGGAGCGGAUGUAGUUGUGGGGUAGUCGGAGGAGCGGAUGUAGUUGUGGGGUAGUGCACAGCCACGCGGAUCCACGCGGCGCGCGCAACUGGCGAGGUGGAGACGGGCCUUGCUGUGCCGGGGUUAGGAAGCGGAAGGAAAAGAUGAAGGAUCCAUGGAGAAAAGGAGAGAGAGAGAGAGAAACAGGGUAGGUGAGGGAGGUCUAAUCAGAGUGUGGGUUGGCGCGCAACAAAAAAAAAUUGGUGGUUUUUUUUUUUGUGGCCAUAUAUUGUAAAUGGCCACAAAAUAGUAUAAAAUUUCUGGCCCAAUCAUUCGCCACAAUACUCACUUCAUUUUUUGUGACCAAAUAUUAUAGGUGGCCACAAAAGUAUAGCAAUUUUGUGGCGGCAAUGGAAAAAUCCCUGCAAUCUGUACUUUAAAAUUUAUGUGAAGAUCAUUAGUGAAAAAAAUUAAAAUUCUCCACAAAAAGUAAGCAUAUUGUGGGAUAAUCAAAUUGGCCACAAAUAAUUCUCCAUAGAAGUCUAUCUUUCUUGUAGUGAUUCAUACAACACCCCAACCAGUAGUAUAGAGCUACUAAAGAGAAAAGCAUAUAUAAUAACAGAGGUUCAUCAUACAUACGUAUCCAAGUAUACAAAACGCUCGCUACAGCGAGAUACAACAUCAGUAUGUAUAAUAACCCAAAAACUAUAACUACAUGUAGCUGGUAUACUCUAGAUCAGCAGCAACUGGGAAGGGAUCUAACUCGCGACUCCCUUUCCACGAUCUGAAACAGCAGCAGCAACAGCAGCCGAAGAAGAAGGCUCUGCAAAAAAUUCCAACAACUGGGCGUGAGUAUUACUGCAAAAAGAAGUAGUCUUUAGUGGGUACCGCUACCGACCUCAACGGCUCACCCACUAAGUCUACAGAUGAUAUACUCAAUGAUAGUAAAGAAUUGGAAAUACUUUACAGCUACAUGCUACUAUACUAUCAGUAAUCAACACUAACUAUCUGUAGAACAAUGCCAUCUCUGACCCAAUCUCACUAGAGACUGUAAGCAUACUCGUCCCAGGGACUGUGAGCACACCCGUCCCCACCUGUCGAAGCUAUACAGCUACCUCCACGCUAAGCAGUCCGUGGAGAGCAAGUCCAACCAGCACGAACCGACACCAACGCAAACGCACAAAGCCCGACUCCGGAAUGGCACUAGUGGGCGCUACCAAACCGAGUAUGCAAGCGUAUUCCUGUUGAGCUCAAUCAGGCUCUCACAGGCUAUAGUGAAGUAAACAGGGUCUACCUAGUCUAACAAUCAAACUCACGUGCCCUCGGCACAAUCUGAUGUAAAAAUAGCAAUCUGGGUCUACCGUCAACCUCAACGGUAUCCGACAGUCCGGAACAGCCUAACCACUGCUGUAAAAAUAAGCUCGGCGUCCGAGCACGAGGGUAAAUAUAUACUACACUAUCCUGAGUGUCCCCGUCAACCAAAUUGCGGCAAUACUAACAAACUACAGCUCCUAAGCUAUACGCGUAUCAAAUGCGCACUAGCAGCGUGGAUACGAAGCGCAACAGCUUAAAGAGCUAUCUGAUAGUUUUUAGAAACGACAGUAUAGAACCUACAGUUGAAGAUUACUCGAGCUCGGCAUCCAAGCACGAGCGUAAAUGCAUUCUACACUAAUCUGGGUAUCUACUGUCCACAACUGCGGCGAUGCCAACAAACUACGGCUCCUAGAGCUAAAUCUGGUAGUUUUAACAUAUGACGGUAUAGAAACGGAAGUUUUCUCCUAAGUCAAUUCAAAGUCCAAUAUGUAUAUUUAACUAAUAUUUUAAGCUCCAAACUCCGAUUUCAUAAGCAUGCAAAUCACUAGUUCGAGCUAAUUACAAGAUAUACAAAAGACUAAACAUACAUGCUGUCAACUACUAAACUUAGAAGGAGAUCCGAAAAUUUCAGUAAGCAUCAUUAACCCACCUCUAGCGUAAUGUCCGACACAGCUAGAAGUCGCGAAGCCACUGAGAAACACAGCCGAAACCACCCCUAGACCAGCAACCAACCAGCAACAACCUCUCUAUGGGUCUACACACAAAAAUCACCAAAACUCCAUCAAAAUCCACAAUUUCAGCAUUUAAGCUUAAAUUCACAAAACCUCAAUGUCAAAUUCACCUUCCAAAGCUCAAUUCAGGUGAAGAAAGGUCCCAACAGUAGUGAAGUAUGAUGGAGUACUGUCUUCAGGUCCGAAAUCCAGCUUUCUCCCGGGUUUAAUCCAAGAAAACCAAUAAAACUCAGCUUCAGCCCGCAAAUACCAGCAUCUCAGAAGAACACGAAAUUGAUUAUACAAACUUCAAUCAAUUUCUAUCAAAUUUGCUCCACGAAUUCUCCAAGAAGUCAACUAACCACCAAACCAAGUUUCACAGCAAUCUGACCCUUCUAUGUCGCACACGAGCCAAAACGCCGCAAGUCGCUGCUGAAAUUCUGUUGAAACUGCAGUCUUUGAAGUGGAAAGCAUGCAAAUUGUGAAAUUUGGAGUGAUUUGAGGGGCUAAGAUGCAAAAUAUAGCUCCUCUGUGAAGAAGGGAAGAAAAGGCUUCUCAAGAGUCGAAUACCAUCUAUUUAUAGUGAGGUGAGAGGAUAAGAUAAGCCCCAAGAACAAACACUGCAAACCUGCUGCCCCUACAGAAACGCACAUUUCGUGCGUCCGAAACCAUGUUCUGGGCGUCCGAAACCUCUAGGCUGCACAAAUGUUCCUCAUCGGUUCUUUCGCCCGCGGUGUACGACUCUGACUCAGUCCGACACUCUCCAGAUGUGUCAACUAGUCACUAAUACUGUAGCCAACUGUCACGCCCUGAGACUGCCGAUUUGGUCGGUUCGUGCCCGUACACAGACGCCGAACGAACAGAACCUCCUCUGUUCGUCCAAGGCUCAACAACAACAACAAACAUGUAUAAAGAAAUGCCCAAAAAAAAUUUCAACAUACAUGGCUUGCACGAGGGCAAGCAACACAAGCAAGUGUAAGUAAACUAACUAAAGCAUUCAUAUAUUGUAUCUUGAUUACUUUAAAUCAAAUACAAAGCUUACAUAAUUAUUACAUUCAUUCUUCCAAUAUAUACAUUGCCAUCUUUCAAAUGAAUAAUUUACAUUUACUUUCAUCAACUAUAAACAGAUGAAAUUAAUAAGGUACAACUAUACUCAAUGGAUGUCCAUUAUCUAUGGAACGCUGUCCAUACCACGAUCCUCGAUCACCCCGCACGAGCUAGAACUUGCAUGAUUAGUGGGGUGAGAACUACUGAAAGUUUCUAGUGGGUUCGGCUGCCCACUUCGCCGACUCACCCAUUAGGUUUAUUCUGGCAUAUGUAGGCAAGAAAAGAGAAUAGAUAGUAACCAGAUAUAACAUGUAACUACUACAAUGCCUGCACAAAGCUAAAAGAAACAGUAGACAAUAUCUGAAAUUGAUGCAUGCAUGCUACUAAUAACCUUUACCCAAUCCAAUUGGUUAACCAUUUGGUUAACAAUAACUCACCAACUAAAUCCCAAGUAUCGGGGAGACGUAAGCUACAUCCCGACGGGAUCGUCUACUGGGGAAGAAGCUAGCUCCUGAUCCAGUUGAUAACUGCUGAGAUGAUUUAGGUAUAGUGUUAUUAGUGCUUUCUUGCAGAGGUAUAUAUGGAAACAUCAUGCAUUCUAACUAAUUUCAAGUGUCCUUUUUCAGCAAUGCUACGUAAUGAAGUUGGGUGGUUUGAUGAAGAGGAGAACAGUGCUGAUACACUGUCCAUGCGUCUAGCAAAUGCCGCAACCUUUGUUCGCACCGCCUUCAGCAACCGUCUUUCAAUUUUCAUACAAGACACAACUGCAGUUGUUGUGACUCUGGUUAUUGGCAUGUUGUUGGAGUGGCGGGUGGCGCUUGUUGCCCUAGCAACUGUACCUAUCCUUACGGUCUCUGCUAUUGCACAGGUUAGCAUGCAUCAUAUCUCUGUACAGUAGUAUCUCCUUGUGUGUCGCCUGCAAAAGUGCUCUGACAUUUGUGUGUUGUUGCCCUAUGGCUUGGUUGCUUCAACAUAAACAUUUGGCAAACUGAUAAAUAUGCAAGAGCCAGUUCCUAUACAAAACUAUGUUUGCCUUAGUUCCAUUUUUGUUAUAGCUUUCCCUUAUCCAGUUAACCUUACCUUAUUACAAAUUGACUCAGAUGCCCUCAUAAAGGUGCAACUACUGUUGCUGAGGUGUGUACAGUACCAAUGUUUUUAGGGGUACUUUUGCAAAAACUUUUAAGGGUAUACAUGCAUUAGAAAGAAACAUUUCUUUUUUUCACUUUCCCUAUUUCACUUAACACCUUGCAUGCCUACGUUGCUGGCAGCUAGUUUUUUAUGCAUGAAAAUUUGACACUGCUACUCUGUUUCACUAAUUCUUCAUUUAACUUGUGAGUAUAAUCCAAUCCUCGCUUAGAGGAUACACUGACAAUGACACUCUUUAACUAGCUCUUUAUGCUAGAUUUACUUGUCUAACUCUAGAUGCUAAUCAGUUCAUCUAGUUCUAAUGUCGCACAUUUUACAAGCUCAUUGACUUUGUUUAACAUUUACAACACUGGGUGCCACUCAUGCAAUCUAUUCACAAUGUAUUUGUCACUAUUUAAUAGUCCAGUACAAGUUCAUACAUCUAUAGGGUUCUAUAUUUACUAGUCACUGUUCACAAGUAAUUGUACUGUCUAGUAUACAAUUAGACCACAUGUCAUAAUUAACCACACAUCAAGCUCGACCCUAUAAUGCAUGAAUUUUAACUAAACAUAUACAAUCCAUGUAUGAUCAAGAACAACGACAUAAACAUAGAAGGUCAUUCGAUGACUUCGAAAAGCACCACGCACCUGUAGGGAUGCCGAAACGAUAAAACCAAUAUCUCGGAGCUCACAAGUAUUAAGUCCUCGUGACUCGAUGCGAAUAAAGCUAGAACGACGUCUAUCGUAAUUAGCGCGUCGUAGAUCCAUUAGAAUGUCAAUUUGAACUUCCGAGCGCGUCCACUUUUCCUUCAUAGAGGAAUAAAAGGGAUUAAACUUAAGUCACAUUCACAUUUUUACAAACUUUGCAUUUCAACCCCAACUUGUAUUAUGUAUAUACUAUCAACAAAUACAUAUACACAGUCUUACUAUUAAGUUCUCUAUGGUAGCUUAGAGUUUUAGAAACUAAAAUAAUUUAUAAUUCAACCUCUUUAGAUAGGGAUUAUCAUCAUCUUAACUCAGAAUUUAAAGCUACUUUAAUCCCAAUUUCCUCUUUACUAAUUAUUCCUAGGUAUAUACAUAUUCAAACUAGGAGUUCAUCAAUGCAGUUUUGAGUUUCCAUUAGCUCAAAUACCCAUAGAACUCCUAAUUAACAUCUCUCUCUGUUACAAUUAACUAAACCUCAGUCGAUACUUAGUCAUAAAUAUCUUAAUUUGUUGCUCAACUAGCUUGUUUUCAGCUCCAACAACCAUCAAUUUCAAUGCUGAAAUCUGCUCUACUACUUCCCUCUUUGCAACCACUACAAGUAUAGAAUAAUUAGUUCUAUUGUCUAUAACUCUUCUAGAGUAACUAAUACCCAUUAACCCAGUAAAUCGCAUUAAUUUCACCUGAGUUCAAAACUCCACUAGGUUCUCUUUCAGCUCGGAACACCAAAGAAGUUCCAACAAGGCAGCAACUUCAGCACUUCUCUUUUUUCCGCUCAAUUACCAAACUGCACUUCAAUUUCUCCUUCACAGCCCCUAUGCAGGUCUAAAGUAAGUAAUCUUAAUACUUACAACUCACUGAAACCAGAGAAGAAACACCGACCUACCUGAUUCGAAGCUCCCUUAACUCCCCUUUCAAUUUCGGGCGCCCAUAAAUCCAUCCAGGCAAUAGCUUCACAAUUCCUAUUUGUUCUCAGCUUCUAUUUGAAUUUCCUGCAUACACACACUAAUUUUAAUCACUUAGAAGCUUCUCUUAGACAAUUGUAAUUGUUCUAGCUGAGAAGUAGCCAUCUACCUCAAGCUCCAAGCUUCCUCAACUGAGUCUUCACCUCGGCAGCCCCAAUCAGCCCGAAAUCCAAGUCUGCCAACAUCACUUUAGAAAUCAUCUUCAUAGUCACUAAUACUCCUCAACCAGGAAUUAGGCAUCAAGCUUACCUGGAUUUGAAACUUCCCCAAGGGUUUCUUCAGCUCCACAAGCCUUCCUUUCAGCUCUACAGGGUUUCUUCUUAGCUCAAACAGCAAGAAAAACUCAGCUCUAUAAGCUUCUCUUCACUAUUCUGCUCCUAUGGCUGAGAGGGAAAGAGAGGAGAUAGAUGAGAAAGGAGCUUUUGGAGGAAGGUCCUGGUACGUGGACACAUUCCAGGGAGCUGGGGUUAAAUGAUAAGGAUAAAUAAUUGCACUUUAACCCUUCAAAUCAGCAAAAGUGCAUUACAAUCCUGCAGUUUACAAUUCAGUCUAUGCAGGUUUACAAAUCAGUCUCUAGACUAAGAGCAGCCUGGCAGCAGCAAUUGCAGCCCUUUUUACGCAUCUAGUUCACUCCGAGUUCAUUCAAACACUUCCAAAACAUACUAAACACUAUGCCGAAGCUACCAAUUAAGCUCGGGAAUAAACCAAUUUUAUUUUCGCAUUAUCUUGAUCACUUUGAUCAAGAUUAGCACUGUAAUUUGGAAACUCGACAUAUUACAAUUCCGAACAUCUCUAAACACCUUCCAAACUCAUGAUUAACCAUCCCGAAGCCUUCAAUUUAAUUCUAGAAUACCACAAUUUACCUUAUUGUUUCUCUUUGAGCAAUUGAAUUAAAGUUAGCAUCGUAAUCCGAAAUUUUUCGUAUAUUACACCAACCCUAUCCAAACCUCAGGAACACUACAUCAUAGUUUCUUUAUCGUUUUAUUGAUGAUGAGGAUGUUAUGAAACAAUUAAUAUUUUGGUUUCGCUUAAUACUCUUGGCUCAUAAAUAAAUGAAAUAACUUUUUUGGAUAUGAAUGUGUCAUGUUUGUACUAUAUCUUAUGUACAACUACUAUCUAUAGCUAGUAGCGAAGAAGUAUUAUCAUAUUGAAAACUUAGUAAAUAGUGGCUUUGGAGAGUCAAUAUAUUUGAAUCAAUAGUAACUUUAUCAAAAGUCAUAGUAUAUACAUACUAGCAGCUUUUUAAAAAGUUACAAUAUAAACUUAUUAUUAGCUUCCAAAAAGUUACAAAUAAUUUUACUAACAAUAUCAAAAAGUUACAACAUAGUUUUACUAACAACAUAAAAAGCUACAACAACUAUAACAUUGUAUCAUAAGCAAUGCCGUUAUAGGUAAUUAAAGGUGACUUACCUACUGCCAUAGCUCUAAAAAGCUACAGAAAUUAUAGCAUUAUGGCAUUGUAAAAAGGUACUAUAGAUAAAUAAAGGCGGAUAAACGAGUGCCACAGAUUUAAAAAAGAUAUAAAAACUACAACAUUAUGGCUUACAAAAAGCCAUUGGCACUACAAUGCGGCUUUCUAGGGUACGUGCCGCAAUAUUGACACAUACCUAUAACGACUCAACUUUCACCGGCUAUUUUUUGUUGCUUUUCCUAAUGUACCAGUACUUAUUUUUGCACCUUUUCAAAAAGCCGCCAUUGGUACCCAUAAAAGCCGGCUUUAAUAUAAAAUGUUGUUGUGAGGGUUUGAAUUACGAAGUAGUGUUGAAACAAAUAUUAGCUCAUGAGGAGAAGUGAUUAUGGAACAAGACGAUCACAAAGAGCAUGAGAUGACUUGGGAACUUAAGUCUUUUAUAUGGGAACGGUAAAUAUUUUUAUUCUUGGAGGAUGUAUAAGAAAGUAUAUAAAGAGAAAAUGAUGUAGAACUCAAGAUUCUUUUAAUAUAAUUCUGUAAAUCAAGAGACUACUAUGUAUAAUUAACUUUUCGAAAGCACUAAAAUGUUUUCUUUUUAUAACUCAAUUAUAGUCUUCGAUUAUGAGGGGUUUACAUAUGAAUUUACAUAAGUUCAAGACCGCUAUUAGUGUUCUGAGAGAGAAAAAAAAGAAAUUUUGGUAGCGCUAGGAGCAAUCAGUGCAAUAUUUUAUGUUACUUUUUUGCGAAUUUUUGAAAAUGGAUGGGUACAUUUGCAAGAGUAUUAGAGAGAAAUGUGUGAAGCAAAGUUUAGCUGAUAUUAGAAUUUUCAGUGUAUUUUCGCAGCAUCUUAAACAAAAAAUACUAGAUUUAUGCAAUUUCAAGUAUCGUUAUUGGUCAAUGAUAUUUUAUGCAUAUUUUUUGAAAAAUUUUGAAUAUGGAAGAGCUUGUUUGCAAGUUUACUAAAAGAGAGACCUACAAAGCAACAGUUCAUAAAAAAUAAGGUCCCGUUACAAUUUUUUGAUAACUUAUAUUUAAAGUGUCGUUUUGGUAAAAUAGAAAAAAAAUUUAUCAAAAUUCUAUAUGUGACAUUCUCAUCCCCCUCUCCCUUUUCACCUACAUCAUGCAUGUCCUCACAAUCAUUGCCCAGCCACAUUGCCGCUCCCUACUAUCCCUCAGGCCAGGCUAAAGCCAUCACACACAAAUUUUUCCUUUGAGUGGAACCCCACCAAGUGCAUCCAUCUCUCACUUCUCUUGGUAUUGCCCCAGGCAGAACCAACCUCACCAGCCUUUCCUUGCUGAUAGCAUCCCACGGUGGAGCCAAUUUUCUUGACUGCUUUUCCUAGAGAUCGAGCCUUGCUAAAGUUCAAAUGCGUGAUCCGGGCGGAGCGCACAUAGAUCGAGCCCUUUUCAGCUUCCUUCGUUGUCGCCGGUCUAGCAUGCCAUCUUCCACAUCUGCUUGCUUUGCUUCUUGGUAUCACAAAUCUAACAGUGAGAUGCCAAAUCGAACUAGCUAUUGAGGUUUCUCUUGGUUUUGUUGGCUGCUGAUUUUUGCCUUUAUCAAUACUUUCCUCCUUUUUGGAUAGUCAUGUGACCUUCUCAAUGCCUCCCAUGCACACAUCGGUUCAGAUUUGAUGAUUGACCAAAGAUAAUGACCAUAUAGUCUUUUCGAUUUUCUAAUUUUUGAUGCCCAGGCCCUUAUGAGGGUGAUUUGAAAAUGUCAAAGUCCACCGAAAUGCAGUUUUGUGGGCAUAUUUUCCCAUUACCGAAAUUGGAGAUUGAGAGUUUAGAAGCCCAUUUUUGUGUGCUACUGGCCAUGACGUGCACAAACACUUGUUUGCUAUCCCAACACUCAAAACAAUAUAUUAGGGAUGCAUCAGGGCUGAACGUGAGCGAUGUGCACACUGAAACGGUACUCGAUAAAUUGCAAUCAGAUCUUUUAGGUCAAUUUAUUAUGUGUUCACAACUCAGCUUGUUCUUGAUUGGAACCCUAUUGUAGUUAUUUUGCAAGCAGAUUUAACUCUCAAGGGUGAUUGUGGAGUUAUGUGCUAGUGUGGUGCCAAAAACAUCACUGUCAGGACCUAUCAAGGCGAUAAACUAUCAUUUCAACGCAUUGUUGAACUUCGAAACUUGUGCAUGAUGUUCUGGAAGGCCCUUAUUGAUUGGAACUAGCAACAAGGGCAUGAGUAACCUUCAUUGGUUCCUACACUAAAAGCGGCAUAUGCUGAAAUUGUUGUGACCUAAUUUGGCAACUGCCAAACCCUUUAUCACACAACUAGUGUGCGACUAUCACGACACUGAAAAUGGUGCAUUUCAGGAUAGCGUAGAGUGUAAGGAUGAUGUUUCAGGGCCAGUUGGCUACCAAGAGGAUGCCUUGCCGUUGGGUGUUGGUUCCAAAAGUUGCUUGGUAGAAAUUGACUUUCAAGUAUGUAGAGUUUGGUCGAUAGCAGCUUAGCGGUUGAUUAUGGACACAUUCAUGUUUUGUAUAGGUCCAAGUGACGCUUAGUGCGCGUAGCGACUGUUUUGUGGACAUUGACCCACUUCAGAUGAGGUGGGUGCUUCAAUUCGGAUAUCGGUAUAGUGGUAUUCGGCUAGGUUUACUUUUCUUAGUGUGCGUAGUGACUGUUUUGUAGUGUUCCAGAGGUUUGGAUAGGAUUGGCUACAGUACUAGUGACUGGUCGACACAUCUGGAGAGUGUCGGACUGAGUCGUAGUCGUUUCUGCACGAAAUAGAUGCAAAAAUAGACUCGGCAUACUCAAAUAAGCAAAACUGAAGUUUUGCCAGAUUCGGACACCCAGAACUGGAUUUGGAUUGCCCAGAACUUGAGUGCUGGUUUGAACUGAACUGGAAGCUAAUUCGGAUCUUGGUUUCGGGCGGCCGUUUGUGGGUCUGAAAGUUCACCUCGUGAAUAUCGUUUGAGCUGACGUAUGGCUGCUGGUAGGUGAGGUCCGCCGGACCAGGAUAUGGGUGCAGCAGACCGCAGGCGAAGGAACCGACGAGGAGGAUUGGUGUAGCCUGGAGGUUUCGAAUGCCCAGAAAGGGGUUUUGGGCACCCGAAAGUGCGCGUUCCUGUAGGUGUAGCAAGUUUGUAGUGUUUGUUCAUGGGGCUUAUUUUAUCCUUCCAGCUCACUAUAAAUAGCUGGAGUUCGACCCCAGUGAACUCUUUUCAUCCUCUCUUCACAGUGAAGGCUUAGAUUGCAUCCAAACUCCUCAAAUUACUCCAAUUUCUCCAAAUUCCACAAAUUGAAGCUUGGGGACUGCAGUUCUAGUAGAAUUCCAGUAGCGACCUCCGGCAUUUUGGCUCGUGUGCAGCGUAGGAAGCUCCGUUUUCCACAAAACUUGGUUUGGUGGAUUCAGGACUUCAAGAGAAAUUCGCAGAACCCAUUUUGACAGAUUUUGGUUGAGGUUAGCUUGGUCGAUUUUGAGUUUUACUCUGCUGUUGGUGAUUUUGGGCUGAUUUGAGUUGUUUUGGUGUUCUUGAUGCAAUCUAUAGAGAAAGCCAGGUUUUUGGAUCAGAGGGUGAUUCUCCAUCAUAGUUUACUGGAUUUGGAAGCUUCCUCACCUGAAUUGAAGAUUGUUAGGUGAGUUUUGACGUUGGAGCAGUAAAAAAAUUAAGCUUAAGUGCUGAAUUUUAGUAGAUUGAUAGAUUUUGGUGAUUUUUGGUGUUUAGAUCUUUGAAGUGGUUUGUUGCUGGUUUAGAGUGUAUUCAGCUGAGGCUCCCAGCAUAUUCGUGACCUUAUUGUUGCCGUGGAGUUGCGCAAGAGGUGGGUUAAAUGUGAUGCUUACCGAAUUCUGCGGAUUUCCUUCUAAGUUGAUAUAGUCGACAUGUAUUCGUCGUUUUGUUUCAUAUUGUAGUUGCUCGAUUCAUUGAUUUAGCAUGAUUAAAAUUUGAAUUGGAGCCUAGUAUGUUAGCUAUAUAUAUACAUGUAGGACUUGGAUAUGACUUAGGAGAAAACCAGCGAUUCUACACCGUUAUAUGCUUAAAUUAUCAGAUUUAGCUCUAGGAGCUGUAGUUUGAUUGUAUCACCGCAGUUUGUGGGCAGUGGAUACCUAGGAUAGUGUAGAAUGUAAUUACGCUCGUGCUGGGAUGCCGAGCUUAUUUUUAUAGCAGUAUUAGGCUGUUCCGGACUGUCGGGUGCCGUUGAGGUUGACGGUGGACCCAGAUUGCUGUUUUUGCAUCAGAUUGUGCCGAGGGCACGUGAGUUUGGUUGUUAGACCAGUUAGACCCUGUUUACUUGGAUCUUAGCCUGUGAGAGCCUGAUUGAGCUCGACAGAGAUACGCUUGCAUACUCGGUUGGGUAGUGCCUACGAGUGCCACUCCGGAGUCUGGCUUUGUGCGUUUGCGUUGGUGUCGUUGUGUCCUGGUUAGACUUGCUCUCCACGGACUGUUUAGUGUUGAGGUAGCUGUAUAGCUUCAACAGGCGGGACGGGUGUGCUCACAGUCCCUGGGACGGGUAUGUUUACAGUCCCUAGUGAGUUUGGGUUAGAUUGUUUUAUUCUACAGAUAGUAGUGUCGAAUCAUGAUAGUAUAGUGGCAUGUAGCUGUAGAUUGUUUUCAGUUUUCUUGUUAUCAUUUGAGCAUACAUCUGUAGACUUAGUGGGCGAGCUAUUAGGACUAUUUUUUUUUCAGUAGUUCUCACGCCCAGUUGUUGGAAUCUUUUGCAGAGCCUUCUUCUUCGGCUGUUGCUACUGCUGAUUCAGACCGCAGAAAGGGAGUCGCGAGUUAGAUCCCUUCCCAGUUGCUGCUGAUCUAGAGUAUAUCAACUACAGGUAGUGGUAGUUUUGAGUUCUUAUAUAUACUUGUUGUAUCUCGCUGGAGCGAGCGUUUUGUACACCUGGAUGUUAUGUAUGUAUAGUGAACUUCUGUUUUCAUUUAUGUUUUGUUCCUUUCUAGUAGCUCUAUACUACUGGUUGUAGUAUUGUAUGAUUGCAGGUACAUGUACAGCUUCGCUUCGUAUACAGGGGAAAUUUCUUUGUACACGGCAGAUCUGUUAGCGUGCCCGGGGAAACAAGGAAUCCGGGGCGUGACAUGUUUUGUGGACAUUGACCCACUUCAGAUGGGGUGGGUGAUUCAAUUAAUUCAGAUAUCAGUAUAUUGGUAUUCGGCUAGGUUUACUUUUUCUACACUGAUAUUGAUAUUCCUACCUUAUUAUACUUUCUAUACCAUACUCUCUAUUAUAUCAUGCUUUCGUGUUAUACCUACUCAUGAGAUAAGCUUGCUUGGUACCAUCCUUACCCGGUUACUCAAUUUCUUGUUAAUGCAUGACUUGUAGAGUACUAUUGCUUAGGCUACUGGAUAUAGUUAAGUCUUAUUGGCUAUACUGCUAUCCCUGUCGGGAGUUUCUCAAUUUUUUACCAAAUGCUAGUCGUUGGACCGUGUUAUGACUUGAGCAUUAUGUAUCAAGACUGUCAUGCAUUUGCUACAUAUUUCACUUGCACCAAUUGAUUGGCUCACGCAAUAGUGUUUUUUACUAGUAGAAUAAUCUAUUAACUAUACUAUUUGACACCUCCUACAAAUGCCACGUGGCAUACCUCCCUAUUCUCCAUUCCACGUGGCGACCAACCCUCUCACCCCCACCUCUACAGAGCCUUUCUCUUUUCUCAACUCACAUCCAGUUGGCAUUCUCUCUCUUCAACUACUGCACUCUCUCUUUUCCCUCCUACAGAUAAUCUCUCUCUAUCUCUUCCUCUCUCUCUCCUCUCCUCUCUCUCUUCCUCUCUUAAGAUGGGCCCAUCUCUCUUUCCAGCUGGCCUGCUUUUUCUCUUUCUCCUCCUUUCCCUUUCUCUCUCUCUCUCUCUCUCUCUCUCUCUCUCUCUCUCCUCCUCUCCUCUCUAUAUCUUAGCCUCCCCUCUCUCUUCUCUCUUCUCACAGGGUGCCUGGGCAGCAACAGCAGUGGCAAUGGCUUGGGCGGCAACAACGGCGGCUGCGGCGGCAGUUUGAGCGGCAUCAACGGCGGUCGCCUCGCCUCGACCUCAUCUCGCCAUCAAAGGAUCUUAGAGCUUUUUAAAAUUACUGUGAAUAUCUCAUAUACCCUCAAAAAAAAUUAAAUUAAAAAAAUUUAAAAAAAAAUGACUUCUGCACCUCGACCUCAUCUCGCCAUUGAGGGAUCUUAGAGCUUUUUAAAAUUACUGUGAACAUCUCAUAUACCCUUAAAAAAAUUAAAUUAAAAAAAUAAAAGAAAAUGACUUCUGCAGGAGACGUUGCGGAGGGUGUCGCCGCGGGUUCGGUAGCGGUGGCAGGUCUUGCAGAAAUAACACGACUGCGAGAGGGAGUAGUUGUCGGAGUAGCAGGACUUGGUGUUGGUCGAGUCGCAGCGCGGGCACUUGAGCGCCGGCUUCGGCUACGGAAUCUUCGUGAGACGGGCGCGGUCCGCCAUCGAGCCAGGCCAGGCAGGGCCGCCGGCCGAAGCUGCCAUACUUGGGGCCUCAGGGCGCGGCGCAGCCUGCGGACCCGGUGGGAGCGGAACUGAAGAAAAAACCAUAGUGUUUUUCUUUUCUUUUUUCCCCUUAGCUUCUUCCUCUUUCUGAUUAGAUUCUUUCACAGGGUUAUGGUGGAGAGAUGGUGGAGAAUCACAUCCAUAAGCAGUUCCUUUGCGAGAGAUAGAGAGAGAGAGGAAGGAGAGUGAAGAGAAAAGGAGGAUUCCUUCUUUUUUUAUUCUAUUUAAAAAAGCAGUUCUUUUUUUAUUCUAUUUAAAAGUUUUGUAAUUAAGUAGGAGCUCACCAUUAGGUAGAGGGCUGAGAGGCACCCGGCGGCGUCACGUGUAGCGUCGCGGACUGAGGAGUCUGAGGGGGGGUCUCUAACGCGCUUGACGAGGUGGGCGACGAUCCUGGGGAUGUGUUUGGUGGCGGCGCCAGGGUGGGUGGCGCAGAGGGCGGCGAGGAGGCGGAGGGAUUCGCGGCGCGCGGCGGCGGAGGGGAGCGGCGCGGAGAGGUCGUGGGCGAGGUCGGCGACGAGCAUGGGCACGCCCUCGGGGCUUCACAACUUAUCUGUUUUUUUUUUUAAUUUCUGAUAUUAUGUUUUUUUUUAUUAUUAUUAUUUACUCAAUAGAAAGUUCAAAAUAUCUUUUUUUAUAAUAAAAAAUAUUAUUAUCUAUGUAAACUUCUGAUUUUUUUUUACUUUAAUUUUUAUUCUCUUUUUCACAAUUUUUCUAGAGCAUAUGACCCAUUUUUACUUUAUUUAAUUAUAAUUUUUCUUAGCCAUAAUGUAAAAAUAUAAUAUCUAGGUGAAUCUCUUUUUGUUAAAUAGAAAAUAAUCACAUUCUCCACAACUUUUUCUGUGACAUGUAUUCUUUUUUUUUUAUCUUGGUAAAAAAAAAAAAAAAAAACACAACAUUUAGAUAAACCUUUUUUUUGUUUACUUUUUUUUAACUAUAAAUUUUUUUGUUUUAUAUUUCUACUUAACUGUUUCAUUAUAAUUGUACUUAACUAUGAUAUAAAAUUAAUCGUUAACCGUAGCAAAGCGCGGGUUCUGUACUAGUAUGAUUGAUCCAUGAGUGCUCCGCUAUACCAUAUGGCAUGGAGUUAUAUGUCAAUUAUGUUAGAUGACUUGCUAUAUAGCAUGAGCCUAAGGUCUCCGAAACGUACCAAAAGUGAUACGAUUGGGUUAUUAUUAGACUGGAACUUACAUUGAUGUAUUUUUCUAUCAGUAGUGAUACUUUAUGAUGCAGCUUGUAUUUCCAGUCCAUUAUGGUUAUACUUAUGCUUCACUAACUCUGUUUAUAGCUUUUAUUUCAUUAUCACACAUAUUUGUAUCAUCUUAUUUGCUCCUUGUAGACUAGUUGGUAUAAUUUGUUGGUCGCCGGCACAUUGUGCCAACGGAGAUACAUUUCAGAAGUAUCUCACAUCCUAUUUUUAUAGGUAGGAUGUUGAAAAAUGGGAUGCUGCGUGAGGACGCUAGUAAUUAACUAGACCUACAGCUCCCUAAAAUCAACUACUAGAUAGAUGUGGACAUUAUCGUGCUUUAUUUACAGUCUAUCACUUAUUGUCAUGCACAGUUAAAUAACUUGUGCUUGACAUUGGUCAUUUAACAACGUUACUUGUAUUUAUCUUUAUGCAUCGUUUGAUGAUUGAUAUAUGUAAUUUGUGGUGGUGUUCUUGUUGAAUUUACAUUUGAUCGUGAUUUCGAGAUAUUUUAUAAAAAUGAAGAUUUGAGGGUAUUUGUAUUCUGGUUGCAAAGAUAGGAGGAUAUGUUUGAUGCAUUGCAGAGACAUGAGGGAUUUAUGCUUGUUGGCUUAUGGAGGAAAAUCAUCACAAUUAUUUUAAGAUAUAUAGUUUAAUGUGAGUCAUGACUGCUGUUUGCCUGAUUAGCUAAAUGCUAUAUCUUCGUCCUGUGGUAAAUGAAUAACUAAAUGUGUUUGAUUGUGUAAUACUUUAUAUAGUUGCUCUAUACUUAACACUAUGUAUGUAUAGAGAAAACUUUGCCUGUACGAUGGAAAAACCUUAUGCAGGUGGGACUAUGUAUGUUCUGGACUAUUUUUUAUUUUGUAUUUCAGAAAUCAUGGAAUGACUCCUCAUGUACUAUGAUGUCAUCAAAAAGAAAAAAGUAGCUCUUUUUUUAAAAAAAACUAUCUUUCAAACUAGACCCGGGCGUGACAGUUUUACAUCGAAUGACAAAAAAAUUAUUAUUAGAUACAUAAGGAUCAAUAACUCUAUUACUAGUAGCUUAGUAUAAAUAUUUUGGACUAGUUGUUUGAGCCCAAUAAAUUAUUAAUGCUAAUCAACUGAAUCGUUACAUUUGGUAUCAUAGCUGAUUGGCCAGCUGAAGGAGUCGGAUGGGUCUUACAUCUUCUAGUACUCAUAAUUAAAGAAUGCUAAAGGAAUUGAAUCAUCGAGAUCUAAACCGGCGAUCUGUGAAUUCUCAAUAGUCCCACAUUGAAUAAAAAAGAAUUAUAAUUGAGUAUAUAUUUUGUGCCGAUAGUUUAGGUCUAAAAAAUUAUUAGUGAUAGUGGAUUGAGUUGUUAUAAAAUCGAUUUGAGCUUGGUUUGGAGACCGCCGAGCCGUGACCAAAAUCGGGUCCUGCUUGAGUUACAGAAGUUUGUUUCAUGGCCCACAAAUGGGCCCGAUUGGCGCCCUUGGGAUUUCAGAUUUGAGAACGAUAGGCGCGCUCGGACGGUAGAGAAUUAGUAGUACUAAAUGAAAAGUUAUUGCAUUGUGUACGGUUGACCAAAUUCUUAAAACUCGCGUGACAUAAUCAUUGGGUUAAUUUUAUACAGCUCCCUAUAAAUAAAUCGAGUAGCAGAUAAAUUUCUAUGAAGUUUAAAUUUUUUAUAUUUAUCCCUACAACAGUCCAGUGAUAGUCAUAUUUAUCUCUCUAGUUUGUUACCGCUAGAAUACUGUUUAUUUUUUUAACAAAAAAUAAAUAAAAUAUUAUUUUUGCCAUCACAAAUAUGUCCUCUAAAAGCCCCGACUAUUAAAACUAUACAAAAAUAUCCUCUCAAAAAAAUUUCAAAUCUCCAACGGUCAUCUUCUUUCUUUCUACCGUCACAAAUAAUAUAAGAGAGAUAAAAAUAAUGAUUUAUCUUAUUCAUUAACUAGGAUUUAGUAUUUUAUCUAUGAUUAACUAUAUUUUUCUAACAGAUUCUAACAGUAUGGGUAUAUUUAAAAAUGUUAGAAUUUUUAUAGAGAUAAAUAUAAAAAGUUAAACUUUGUAAGAAUAUAUCUGCUAUUUGAUAUGUUUACAAAGAAAGCCGUAUGUAAUUAAUCCAUUUUUUUUUCUAUACUGUUGAUUUUUGUAACCUAAUACCUAAACAAAGUCAGCAGCACAAGCUCUUUUGUGAAAGAAUAAAUUGCCCAAGCUCUCCGCCUCAAGGACGACCAUAUGAAUAAUCAAAUUGAAUUUAUAAAUAUCUGAUCAUAUAAUUGAAGUUUUUAUUAUAGUAUAAUAUAAGUGUGCAACUUUAAUGAAGUGGUGGACCGGAUCUUUAUUUGUGUAUCUCCUCUUGCCUACGGCCUACCCAAGUAUAAAGUACACAUCUUAAUGCAAAAAUAUUUAAUAUUUAAUUAUUAAUAAAAAUAGAAUUAAUUCAAAAAUAUAAUUCAUAGUAUUUAAGAGGCAUUAUAUAAAAAAAUUAAUACAAAUUUUAAAAUUACAUAAUUUAGGCAUCAAAUUAUUCUCAAAAUCACCUAUAUAAAUAAUCUAAUUUGAUUUACAAUAAGUAAAUAUCUAAAAUAUAUAACUUUCCGAGUAUACAAAUUUAUACAUAUUAGAAAAAUAAUUUAAUAACUUUAAGUACUGAUUUUAAAGCCAACUAUAAUAAUAGACUUAAAUACAGAAACCUCCUUAUAAAUAUUUACUUUUUUAUUUUUUCUUCCUGACUUUUCAAAACUUACAUUUUGCUCCUCUACAAUUUCAAAAAUAUUUUCAGAAAGGUAUAACAUUAAUGAAAAGAGCAAAAUGACAAAAUUACCGAUACUUAUUUUAUAAUAACAAAAUAUUUUUUUAAUAUAUUUCUGCCUCCAUAUAAAUUAUAGUGGACAGAUUAGUGAAGGAGCCUUAAUGAAGGCGAGUUAAAUGCAAAAAUUUGAAAUGUUAAAGAGAUAAAAUGUAGGUUUUUAAAAGUUAAGGAGUGAAAAUAAAAAAAAAUGAUAUUUAUAAGAAAAUUUUCUGUAAUUUAGCCAAUAAUAAUAACUUAAAAAUGAUGGAAAUUUUGGAGCCUAAAGGGCCAUUUGGUUGCAUGCAGUUGCAACUGCACUGCAGUUGUAAUCAUAUGCAAAUGCAAAUUCAGUGUUUGAUUUGAUAUAUUUAACUCUAAUUGCUGCAAUAGAAACUGCAAGAGGAGGCCUAACUGCAGCAAUUGGAACUACUCCCAAAUUGGCCGCAGUUCGAACUGUAGCAAUUGAAGAGAGUAACUUUAAACAAAAGGUAUACUUACCUCAAAAAACAUAUAUAUUUUUUAAUUGGAGGUAAUUUUACCAUUGUAUAUACAAAAUGAUAAAAUUUUAAAAAUUAUUUCUCAACUAUAUGCAAACAAAUAAAUUAUUUAUAGUUAUAGUAUUUUCUACUACAUCCAACCAAAUAAGAUGUAUAUAGUUACAAUUGUUGCAUUUUAAUUAUAUGCAUCUCCAACUACAUUUGUAAUAACAUCUAACCAAACGGAUCGACCGUCUCUAGUGCAAGUAGCAAAGGGCUUGAUAGUUAAUACUCGAAGUUUCGAGUUCAAAUUCUAGUUGAAGUAUAUUUUCAACUAAGUUUAUUUCUAAAUAAAAUAAACUAAGCGGGUAGUACGCUGCCAUCUGUCUCUCAAAAAAUAAAAAAAUAUUUAACCAAACGGCUUCUAAGUGCAUGGUGCACUUGGUGCACGCAAUAAGAAUUUUCGUUCUAACCCACUCGUCCCUAUAUUUCCUCGCGGCUGUCUGUCCCAGUCGGUUGUCUGAGAAAGUAUAGGCUGACCGAAACAGUAAAGAGAGUAGAAACUUUAGAGAGAGAGAGAGAGAGAGAGUGUGUGUUGUGUUGUGUGUAUCCGAAAGAAGUGUAGAGAGAGAGAGAGAGAGAGAGAGAGAGAGACGGAAGAAGCGACGCGGAGCGAGCGGAGGAGAGGAGGGGGGCGUUAAGAGUGAUGGUGUUCAAGGGCCGCUUCUUCUCCUCCUCCCGCAAAUCCGACUCGUCGAGCGCCGACGGAUCCAACAGCCCUAAAACCCCCUCCGUCGGAUCCCCUGCCUCGUCUUCCUCCUCCAGAUCUGACAAGAAGAAGCACCACCAUAAAUCCGAACCCUCCAUUUCCACCUCCGCCUCCCAUAAGAAGGAGAAAGAGAGGGACAAGGACUCCAAGGGCAAGGAUCUCGCCUCCGCCUCCAAACCCUCCCCAUCCUCCUCCUCCUCCCCCGCCGCCGCCGCCGCCGCCGCCGGGCCCGAGAACAAGAGCAAGAACUUGAGCAGCCUGAAGGAGGCAGAGGAGUUCCGGGCGCGGUUCCGCCNNNNNNNNNNNNNNNNNNNNNNNNNNNNNNNNNNNNNNNNNNNNNNNNNNNNNNNNNNNNNNNNNNNNNNNNNNNNNNNNNNNNNNNNNNNNNNNNNNNNGCAAAUAUUUGAUGCAUGCAAAGAAAUAAUUAAAGAAAUUAGGCACAUCAGUAACAAUCUCCACUCAAGCGAACACAAAAGCACCUAACGAAAUAUAUAUUUAUAUAUAUAAAUUGAUUUGCAAACACGCACUAAAUUUCCUUUUGCCCAAAACACCAGGGCAACAGCAAGUCGGAUCAUCCCACAAGCGAAACAAUACCAAGCAACAACACGCAAAAUUGAAUCUUUUUGCGCGAAAAGAAGAAUAAACCAAGCAAGAUAGCAUGAACAAAGCAAGAACACACGAAUCGCCGCAUCCAAGGGCUCACGGAGACGUACCACUUCCACAGAUCGCUUCCUCUUGAGCUUCAUCUCGAAAUUCGCAUUGCCCGGGCGAAAGCUCAACGCAAGAACCGCGGAGCGGAGUAGGGUUUCUCCGAUAUCGGAACGAUAUCAGGAGAAAAUUGGUAUACACAUAUAAUCAGUAGAGAGGGAGCGCCUGGGAGAGGGGAAACCCUAGAUAACGCCCCAACCACGGCGCUACCUCGUCUUUGUCCUCGUAGUCUUCUUCCUCGCGAGAAAGCGAGUGAGCGAGACAGAAAGAGGGGAGAGAUCAGGAGAGGCCGCAAGGGCAAGAGAGAGAGAGAGAGAGAGAGAGAGAGAGUUUGUUGAGGGUUUCGUCGAGCGGUCGGUGUGGAGGGGGGAGCGGGGCGGUGAUCGGUUUAGGAAUUAGAGGAGAGUGGCGGAGAGCCUGAGAGAGAGAGAGAGAGAGAGAGAGAAACGGGAUGUUAGAUGCAAUACUACAAAACGAGAGCAAAUGUGAUUUGUAUAAUAUCUUUACAUGACAUGAGUGUAUGAUAUACACCUUUAAUCCAAGAAUUAAUAAAGCCUUUGGAGUUUUUAUUUAUUUAUUUUUUUUUCACAAGAGCAAAUGCUACCUAUACAUCUCAUUUGAAAUAUAUAUUAAACAUCAAUCAUAUCAAGUGACUAGUGAAAGCACCCUACCCAUCGGAUGGGUGGGGUGUAACUUGUACACCCACAAUGAGAUGUACAAAUAGCAUUUUCCUUUUCACAGGAGGUGCAUACACGCCCUUAAUCCAAGGGUUGAUAAAGCUUUUAUAGAUUUAGUAUAAAGAAUUAUGUUGUAUUUAGUUGGCCAUAAGAUAUAUAAAAAUUACUUUUCGAUUGAAAAUUUUAUUUUUUUUCUGUGUUUGUUUAGCUGUAAAAGUUUUUUUCAAAAAACUAUUUUUACAGAUUUAAAAAAAUAAAGUAUUUUCAUUUUUCGCUGAAAAUCGCUAGAAAAAAAAACUCAAGCUGCAUACAAUUUUUUUUAUUGAUUUUUUUCCACCAGAACCAAACAAAUGUGAUUUGUUUUCUUUCACCUAAAUAAAUGCUAAUGAAAAACUUAUGUUUUUCUACAAAUCAAACACUAUAAAACAUGAAACAUUUUUUUACCAUUUUUUUUCAUGGAAAGCUACUUUUUACGGUUUUUUGUACAACCAAAUACCCCUUUAGUUACACCCUAAAAUCAUGUACUUUUAUUAUUUUUAUUAAGUUACCAUUAUUUUAUUAUAUUUCAGAUUUAUUUUUAUUUUCUAUUUUAUACUAAAUUUUUUUAUCAUAUUGUCAUGUUCUUGGAUUUAGGUUUUCUGUUUAAAAAAGAGUGGCUGAUUUUUUUUUUAAAAAAAAUCAUCAGAAUUACGCAAUAGACAACCAAAGAAGUUUGAAAUAUAACAAACGAUUUGGAACGUGCACAAACCAGCCACAUGUCUAGAGUUUUUCUAUCCACACGAACAGAGUCUCUCCUAUACACGCAUGACAUUGAGCAUAAGAACAUUUCAAUCAAACAAUCAAGUUGUAUUUAAGAAGCGAUAUUUUGAUUCGUAAUAUAACAGAUCAGUCAUACAAACAUGACUCCCACUAAAAAUAUAAAAUAGUAUAGUGAUAUCAUAUCCCUCCAAAUAUUGCCAACACAAAUCUCUCCAUAUUUGCGCAAAACAAUAAAUAUAACCUCGCAUAUCUCCGCAAAUAAAAUACAAAAAUCAAAAUUUUGAAGGCCACAAACGAAAGACCAAGUGUUGGCGCCGAAAAAUAGUGCCACAUGGUAAGCAGCGCGUUCCAAGCAAUUAAACAAUGGGAACAAAAUAAAAGGUGACACGUGGUACACUAGAAGUCGAGGAAAAGUACGCCUAAAUAGAAGAGCAGUUUAGAUAGGAACGGUUAGAGACAUAGAGGGAGAUUUUCAUAGCUAGUAAGUUAUCAAUUGAAGCACAUCCCGAGGAAAUAGGAACGUGACCGUAGAAACCUUUAUGAUAAGAAUCACCCAAUAACUUCAGGCAGAAAAAUAUGCUACUAUAAAUAGCAAAAAGCGCGCCUGUGAUGGGGAUCCUUCACACAAGCAAGCGAUCACGACAAAUUUCAAUUCCUUUACAAUUUCUAGUAUUUAUGAUUUUCUAGGAGUAGUCCACAGAUAUUUUUUUUUUCUAUUUUUUAAGAGUUUAGUUAAGUUUAUGAGCUUUUCUAAAAGUAUAUUUAGACUUUAUAACAGCUUUUGUAAUCCUCCCUUUUCAAUUAAUAUAAAUAGCUAGACUUACCGACCGUCCCUAAAGCAAGUGGCAAAGGGCUUGGUGGUUGGUACCCGAGACCCAAGUUCGAAUCCUGGUUGAUUCACAUUUUCAGCUAAGUUUAUUUCUAAAUGAAAUAAACGAAGCGGGUAGCGUGCUACCUAUCUCUCAAAAAAAUAAAUAAAUAGCUCGACUCUUUCAGCUAAACUCGCUUUUCAGCUCAUUUGCGAAUUCUUAGCAGAAGAGCCCGGUUGAGCCGAUUCACGCUUUGCGGACAUGUCUGACUUGGUCAACUCAUUGAUCCAGUCAGUGUUGCCCCACGCAUUCGGUUUCUAGCCCAACAAUUUUUGACACGCCUGGUAGGACCUGCUCAGGUAAAUCUAAACAUCUCUCAAAUUGUUGAUGAUAACACAAUGAACCUUUGAAAUAGGGUCAUUCCUAAAUCCUCAGGUAGCGUUAAGUUUGGGAAUAAAGGGGGCAAUAAGCCCUUAUUCCCCGCUUUGUUCCCAAACACUGCGUUUGGUACCCGAGAACAGUAGUUCUCCGGUUUCUCGAAUAAGCCGGUAUAAGGCUAGAACUGCUGUUCUACCUUUUCCCUGGAACAAGCUUGUUCCUAAGUGAGAAUAAGGUUAAUUAAAGUCUAAAAAUAAUUUUAAUAUGGUAUUAAAUAAUUAAUUAAUUUAAUUAAUAUAUUUAAAUUAUUAUUUAUUACUUAAAUAAUAAAUUAAUUUAUUAUGUUAUUAUUUAUAAUUAUUAAUUAAACUAUUAUUAUUUAUAAUUAUUAAUAAUUACUUAAUUUAUUUAUUUGUUAAUAAAUAAAUAAAUAAUUAAUUAUUAGUUUAUUAAUUUAUAAUUAACUAAUUUAUCAUUAAUUUAUUCUUAAUUAAAUAAUUUAUUAUUAAUUAUUUAUUUAUUUACUAUUAAUUAAUUAUAAUUAAUUCAUUUAUUUAAUUUAUUAUUGUUUAAAAUUAUUAAUAAUUAUUUAAUUAACUGUUAGUAUUAAUUAAUUAAUUUUUUAUUUAUAAUAUUAAUAAGUUAUUAUUAUAACUAUUAAUAAUUUAUAUUAUUAAAUGCGCAUAUUUGUUAUUAAUUAAUGUUUUAUUCUGUAUAAUUAUUAAUAAAUAAUUAAUUAUAAUUAUAUUAUUAUUUAAUUAAUUUAUUAUUUAUACUAUAUUAUUUAAUUAAUUAUUAUUAAUUAAAUAAUUUAUUUUAUUUUAAUUAAUAAUUAUAAUAAUUUAUUAUUUAAUAUUUUUAUUUAUAUUUUAUUAUUUAAAUAAUUUUUUAUUAAUUAAUUUAUUUAUAUUUUAUAAUUAUUAAUAUUAAUUUAUUAUUAUUAAGUAAUAUUUUGAUGUUAAUUAAUUAGGUAAAAUAAUUUUAAUUUAAAAUUAUAACUCUUAUCCUAUUCCUAGGAACAGCCCAAUUUUCAUCCAAACGCAAAAUUGGUCAAAUUCUUGCUUAUAUCUGAACUUGUACCUAUCCCUGGAAUAAGCAGUUCUUAUUUAUACCCAAACCAAACGCAGUCUCAGGGAUUGAUCAGACAAGUAGCGCCGAAAAUACAAAUGAGCAUCAGGCGGCGCUACCAUCAGAAGGUGAACGUAGUGGAUACUCGGCUCACUAAGAGCCGAGUCUAACUUAGGCACUCGGGCAAAUGACUUGAGUUCUUUAGACUUUGGAUCAGAAUAGCCACUAGAGCACUGCCUAUCUAGAUGCGGUGCUAGCCACCUCAUGACCUCGAAUAAGAACAUCGCUCGCAUCGGGCAACUAUCAACUUGGAACAAGCAACCAUAUGGAAGUGUUUCUAGCAAUCAAUCCGACCAUACCAAUGAAGCAAAAUGCCGUUGCACUGACGAUCUUGCAGGCGCAAACCUAAAUGGCACCUUCUAUGCUGUCUACGGGCUGAUGAAUGUAAACAUCGGCCCACAAUUGGAAGUAGCAUAGGUCUCAACAUACAUUAAUUUAUUUGACGUUGCUAAAACUGAUCAGAUAUUUGAUAGGUUGUAUGAAGACGAGAGGAUUAAACUUCAGGAAGGCCAAAUAUUGCUUUUCGGUGAGGAGUUAAGAAGAAGGAAAUACUACAAGUCACACCAUUCUUGGAGCCGCAAAACUAAUGAUUGCACGGCCUUUAAGAGGAAAAUACAAAGAAAAAUAAAUAAAGGUCGGUUGGUUUUCGUCGACCAAGAAAACAAGAAUGAUUUGAAAAUUGACCAAAAUCCCUUUCCCACACAGGUGAAUAUAAGACAUUAAGGGGAAGAAGCCACUCUAGGACGAUAAGUUCCAAGAGGAUGUAGUUAAGAGAAGGAGAAUGCUUUGGCUCUUCAUUAGAUACAAGGCUGAAAUGACGUGCAAGGAUUGCAAAGCAAUUGUGCAUGAGAAAAAAUACGUUCGGGGAGUGGAAGGAGUUCAUGACUUUCCCUGAAGAGUGCGGGGGACAUACCCAAGGCAAUAGGCGAACCGGGUGAGUGUUCGGAGAACUCUAAUAACUUCGAGGAGGUGAAUUCAGGAAAGGAUCUGCCAAUUCAAAAGGUCUUAAAAAAAUAUUACCAGAUAAGGAAGAAGGCUGGUCGAGAGGAUCAUCCGAAGCGACCUUUCUUUAUACAUCAGAAGAAUUAGGGAUAUCGGCCCAUAUGGUAUCAAUACCCGCGGCCGAGACCCAAACCUAAUUCGAGGGGAUGAUUGAGAAAGAAAUAGGAGCCCUCAAUCGAAGAUUAGUUAAUGAAUCGAGGAUCUAGCCAUAGCCAAGACUACAGAAAAGGUGAGAGAGAUUUUGAGAGAUCACCUCAGAAUAGUGAAGAAGCCGACAAAUGUGUCGAUCAAUCAAUAUUUCACAGCAAGGGCACCAACCAGAUGGUAUGGGGUAGUCUUGAUGAAAAUUCAAAAAUGGCGGCAACAAAAAUUGCAAGUCGAGAUAAGGCAUCACUAGGAGAAGGUGAAGGGAAUCAGGCCGAAUAUAUGAAAAUAACCCAAGCAGCGAUUAUCCUUGCAACCUAUGAAGAACGACAACGAGGCAGGCAGCUCGACUACCCUGCCUUAGUUGAAGUUCCAAAUGGUUCAGUUUGUUGUGGUAGGGCCGACAAAGAAAGUCACUCGUAAGGAGUUAGAAGACAAAAUCGCUUCUUUGGAGACCAUCGUCAAACGAGAGUGGUCACUAGCCAAAGAGAGAAAAAUUAAGCGAGAGAGUCUUCAGUUAAAAUGGCAAAGGAGUCCAAGAAAAAGUAGAGGACUGAGAAAAAUGCAAUCGUAGAAAGUUCAUUUGAUAUGGGCAUGGUGUACACAUUACCCUACUCAUUUUAGCUCGAGACGGAAGAAGCUGAAAAGCAGCUUUAAUAUGAAAGGGAACUAGUCGUGGCCUAGCUCCAACUGGAGGACAUCAAAACGGUCGAUACAGUGGCAUUUGAAAAGCUACAGACCAGGUUCAUAAGGCUUCUAUAUAUCAAGAUCUUAAUAGAGGACGACCGGUUGGCUGAGUGAUGAUAGACGGCGAGGCUAUGGUGAACGUGAUACACACAUAGUUUUGUAAGAAGUUGGGCAAGAACAAGGAUGAUCUCAAGCCUACUGACACAACCAUGACAGACUUCACGAGAAGCGGUCAGCAAGUGUGGGGGGUACUGACAACUGAAUUGACAGUUGAGUCCAAGACUCUCUAAACAGUCUUUUUUGUGGUGGACGCUAGCAGCUACUACAACUUGCUGCUAGGGCAUGAUUGGAUCCACUUCAAUGAGUGCGUACCCUCGACUCUCCCUAAAAAAUUAUUCCAAUGAAUCGGGGAUCACAUUGAGAAAGUCGUUGGCUGAAGGAAGGCCGCAAUUAGUGGAUGUGAACUUGGGCAUAUGUUAUGUGAAUUAGGCCAAAGCCGAUCUAGACCAAAUUUCAUUUGUCCGGGUCACUGAAGAUGGAGUACAACUGAUACUCCAAAGAGAAGCAGAGGUGCUGGCGGCAACUAAAAAGCCGCCGACUUGGUUGAAAUGGAAUAUCAGAAGCCAAGAGUCGAGGCUCUGAAAGAGCUUCGGCCUAAAGUGCCGGCCAAAGGGGCAGGCAGUAGAGAUAAUUCGGUUGGUAGAGCCGGUGAAAGAAUAAUAGAUCAACUAGGUGAUUCGGCCGGCAAGCCGAACACAAAAGGUCAAAAGAAACUAUGGCUUUGCUAGAAUGGUGGAAAGAUUAAAGGAAAUAGAGAAUUCGACCACAAAAAUCCAAGUCGAAAAGGAUCUCGCUGAGGAAUUCGAAGAGUCGCCGAUCAAAAUCGGUGAAAAGAAGUUGGACAUUCAAAGUCCUCUGAUCGAAGUAAAUUUAAGGUUGGACGAGGACAGACGACCAACCUUCAUUAGUGCAAAACUUUAUGCGAAACAACAAGGGGAGCUGAUCGACCUACUAAGGAGAUAUAAAGACUACUUCGCUUGGAGAUAUGAAGAGAUCCCGGGGCUAAGUCAAAAGAUUGUAGAGUAUAGGCUCCCUACAAAAAAAGGAUUUGGGCUUUAUAAGCAACUGGUUUGUAGGUUUAUGUCGAGUAUUGUACUGCAAACAAAAGAUAAAAUUAAAAAGCUUUUGAGAGCCAAUUUUAUUAGAGUAACUUGUUAUGUUGACUGGGUUUCUAAUAUAGUUUUGAUGCAUAAAAAGAAGGCAAACUUAGAAUUUGUAUUAAUUUUAGAAACUUGAAUACGCCUAAAGAUGGAUACCCCAUGCUAAUAGCUUAUAUGCUAGUCGAUACUGCAGCUGGUCAUGAAAUCUUGUCGUUCAUGGAUGGAUAUGCUGGCUACAGUUAAAAUUUUAUAGCCAAAGAGGAUAUAUCAAAAAUGGCUUUCAGAUGCGCGGGAUCAGUUGGAACCUUCGAGCAAAUUGUGAUUCCUUUCAGCUUAAAGAAUGCCGGAACCACUUACCAACAAAUGAUAAGUAUAGUGGUAAAAUUCAAAUAAAAAAUCGAUCAUUGGGCUGAUUUAAAAUUAGCCUCCGAAUGCAUGAAGAAAUAUGAUUUAGGUUAAACUACAAAAAAGCUCUAUGUGAAUGUGAACCCAGGAGUAAAACCGAUGUAACCCAUCUCAAACGCUAAUCUCUGGCAGCGAAGGACUCCCACUGGUGAAGAGCGACCUGCUGGAUUACCCGGAACCCGCCGAGUACAGAAAUCGCCUAAUCUCGAGCUCUAUGUAACAAAAUUCACCAAUUCAGUCCAGAAAUUGCAGCAGUGAGGUACAACGGAGAUUCGACCAAGCUAACCUUCACCGAAUCCAGCAAGUAAGGGCUUCGUAGAUUUCUCUCGAAGUCCCGAAUCCAACGAACCAAGUCCCGUCGCAAUCCGAUGCUCCUACGUCGAGAACGAGCUGAAAAACUAACGGUCGACGAUGGGAAUCAGCAAACAGCACCUAGCUCGAAAUGUCAAUACUUGAAGCAACGCAACGGAACGCUCACCUCAACGGUUAAUCGGUCAGCGACACGGCGUCGAGAACGGCGAAAACGCACCCUCGCCUAGCUUCCUCGCAGCGCUACGAUCCCAACCGUAUCCCCGAACGGCUUCGCGGCACGACGUCGGUGUCGAAUCCGAGCUCCAACCGAACUCCUCCACGGUCAAACCAAGCUAGAGAGGGAGAGGGGAAAAAGGAGCAGCAAUAGAACUCCCUCUCAAGCUCUCUACGUCUGUAUAAAGAGGUAGGUGGAGUGGUGAUACAAACGAGGGAGAGAAUUACUAAAUUAACCCUCUACCUACCCCCUUGUACCGGUACACGGGCUCUUGUACCGGUACAAGAGCCAACCCGAGAGCUGCUAAUCCUCUGCGCGAUGGUUGUACCGGUACAGCCACGCUGGUUGUACCGGUACAGCAAGCAGAGAAAUCUGCAGUUUUGCAGAUUUCUUCGCUAUAAGCUGCCCUCGCGUCGCACGGAGUCCGUUUUACGUCUAUUUGACGCCAACGCGACUCGGACUUGUCCCGACACUCUCCAGAGCUGUCGACAAGCCUCCACAACAGAACACCAGGGAUCUCACAUACAAUCUCUCAAGAAGCUCACAAUUACAAAUCAAUGAACAAUUAGGACUUAGAGAAUUUUUCUGAAGUUGUGUCACAAACAACAUCCAAGCCCCCCUUUAAAUACACUAGCCAUCAUUUCAAAAAUGGAACAAAAGCAUAAUUAAAUUAUAAUUGAUUUCAAUUUGAAUUUUAACCAUAUUUGCAAAUGCAUUUGAAUUAAUUCCAAAAUAAAUUCGAAUUCAUACCACAUUUGCAAAACAUUUGAAAUAUUACUAUAUUGAAAAGCUCAUUUGAAAUUAUACUAAAUUUAUAAAAUUCAAAUUCAUACCACAUUUGCAAAACUCAUUUGAAAUAUUACUAUAUUGAAAAGCUCAUUUGAAAUUAUACUAAAUUUAUAAAAUCCUUUUAAAUUAAUACUACAAAUGAAAAACUUUUUGAAUUCAUUCCACAUUUGUAAAAGCUUUUAAAAUAAUACAAUACUUAUAAAACUCAUUUAUAUCAUAUUUCAUAUUUUUUAAAUUCAUACUAUAUUAAAAUCAAAUUUGAAUUUAUACCAUACAUAAAAUCACUUUCAUACCAUAUUAAAAUAAUGGCUAAUUUGACAUUAAGCUCAAAUCAAACCCAAAGGUGAAUUGGUCAACUUGACUAGGUUGACCGGCUCAAAUCCGAUAAAUUGUAAAGAAGUCCUCCAAAUUUUUGUUGUGGCACUUGUAUCCAAUUUGGUACAAUUUGAUCUUGUCCGGGCCAAUUUGAAUAAUUUGAUUGAAUGGUUACCUUUGAUCAAUUCCGGUUCAGCUUGAGCCACUUUAAAUUCAACUAUAACCUGAAAUUGCUAAAUGACAAAUUAAAUCCAAUAUUUGUUUGUUAUCAUCAAAAUUUAUUAUUGGAUAAAAUCCAACAAGUUUAACAACGUGAUGGUCAAUUGUUCAGUUUAACGACUUGACGGUCAUAUUUGAAUAUUAUUUGCUCAGUUUAGCGAUAUGGCGGUCGAUUUUAAAUUGAGUUGCUCAGUUUAGCGACAUGGCGGUCGAUUUGACUUUUGGUGCUCAGUUUAAUGACAUGGCGGUCGGAUGUUCAGUUUAAUGACUUAACAGUCAUUCGUUCAGUUUAAUGACUUGAUGGUCAUUUGUUCAGUUUAACGACUUGAGGGUCAAUUUGAAUUUGAAUUCAGUUUAACGAUUUGACGAUCAAAUGUUCAGUUUAACGACUUGAUGGUCUUUUGUUUAGUUUAACGACUUGAUAUUCAAUUUAACGACUUGGUGGUCAUUUGUUCAGUUUAACGACUUGAGGGUCAAUUUGAAUUCGACUUUAGCUUAACGACUUGACGGUCAAAUGUUCAGUUUAACGACUUAAUGGUCAUUUGAAUUUGUAUUCAGUUUAACGACUUGAUGGUCAUUUGUUCAGUUUAACGACUUGAGGGUCAAUUUGAAUUUGAAUUCAGUUUAAUGACUUGAUGGUCAAAUGUUCAGUUUAACAACUUGAUGGUCAAAUGUCCAGUUUAACGACUUAAUGGUCAUUUUGAAUUUGAAUUCAGUUUAACGACUUGACGGUCAAGUGUUCAGUUUAACGACUUGAUGGUCAAUUGUUCAGUUUAACGACUUGACGGUCGUUGUUUAGUUUAACGACUUUGCGGUCAUUUAGUUUAACGACUUUACGGUCGUUUGAAUGUGAGUUGUUUAGUUUAACGACUUUGCAGUCGUUUGAAUGUGAGUUGUUUAGUUUAACGACUUUGCGGUCGCUUGGAUCUGAGAGGCUUUGGAUUUUGGGGUUUUAUUUGUGGACUUUAGGUUUUGGGCUUUAUUUGUGGACUUUGGGUUUUGAGAUUUUAUUUGUGGACUUUGGGUUUUGGAUCUUAUUUGUGGACUUUGGAUUUUGAGUUGGAUUCAGAUCGAGUUGACGUGAACCUUUUGUAUUUGAUUUGGGUUGAGCCGCCUUAGGUUGGU
rnacentral:lncRNA from 1 species